CAUCAGCCUAUUAAUUGUGAGGCACCAUAACUAAGAGCGCUGUUAACACCGUGUCACCAGCGAGAUGUUUUCAGGACAUCCAGCGCGCAGACAGAACCAAGGUUUUAGUUCAUCCAUCAGCUCCUGUCAUUCCGACAAGGCGUGACCCGCCUCCUGUCAGGGGAAGACAGAGACACUGAGAAGUUGUUGGGUUUUCCAUCCAGAGGCAGAGACCGCAUGCGGUGUUCUGCUUCCCAGGCAGACAGAGCAAGCCGGACGGUGCAGAGCUUCUUCCAGCUGGGGAUCCAACCGGAAGGAAGUGGACCUAGAAAUGACAUCCAGUUUGUUCAUCUCCAUCUAUUCACAUCUGGACUGGAAGGACUGACUGGAAAGUCUGCGACCAGCGAUAACAUUUAGAUCUAGGAGCUGAGGUUUCAGAUCUGUACAUACAAUGUUUCAUAGCUUUCACUUUUAAACUUAACAAAUCUGAAGAAGUUUCUCUUUUAGAUCAAUAAUUAACAUCAUUCGAAUGAUCUUUGAUUGUAAGCAAGCCAGAUGAAAAUGAAAGACGUUUUUAUUUAGAAUAUUUAUAGGUUUUAGUCCCACAGGGGUCAAUACUUGGUCCCACUCUUUUCUCCACUUAUGACAUAGCAAAUUGUGUUGUAGAUUUGUAUAUUCACCUUUAUGCUGAUGACACAGUCCUAAACUCCACUGUUCUGUUAUAGAUUCACUUCAACAUCUGAUUAGUUUUAUGAGAAUCCAUCCGGCCAUUUCAAGUCUGCUUGCUAAGAAAGCAUUUCUAAGAACAAAGUCAUUUGCUUUGGUAAAAAAAGGAGAUGCACCAUCAAAUUCUGCAUGUAUCGCCAUGAAUCUGCAUCUUUAAUGUCAGGUAGACAAAAUGUUUUCCUUUCAGAUUUUUUUUUUUUUUUUGAUAAUUUGAAGACUGAGAUCAAAUCAAAGGCAGCGCUCCUCUUUCAUUUCAUCUGCAAUGAAAACUUUGGUGCCACUGCCCGCUCUUCCCAUGUUGGAUUAUUAUGAUGAUGUCAUUUACAGAUCAGCAUCCAAAGAUUUGCUCCAUAAACUGCAUAUUAUUUAGUAUAUCAUUAAUACUAAAAACUCUUUUGGUUUUUAUCUUACCUCUAUUUUUAACGGUCAAACUGCAAACUUGAUUCUAUUAACAUUUUCUAAAACUUCUUCUGCAUCCAGGUGGUUGUCCUUUCACUUUACUGGAAUGAAUCUACAGAGAAAUCCACAAAUUGGACAUCUUCAUAUUUUUUCUGUGUAUUUCUUUCUUCUAAAUGCUGCAAUUCUUUUAUUAUUUUCAUGUUUACAUUGUCCAAAUUGUGUCAUUUUGGCUUUUUCCAGGCUAUAGUUGUAAUAAGACAUUUGUUCUUGGCUUGUUUUUUUGUCUGGUUAAAUAAAGAUAUAAUUAAAAAAAUCUUCCUAACCAAUCAAAGCUCAUUUACUGAAUAAGCCUGCCUGAUAUGUAGAUUGUGAACAACAUGGGGUUCAGUGUCUUUCCCACCAACACUUUGACACGGAGAAGCUGGAAUUAAACCGACAACCUUCCAGUCAGGAUGCCACUCCUCUCUCUGAGACAACCAUCAUGGCUUCCUCUCUGCUUCACAUCAGAGAGAAACAGUUUACACACAUCCUAAUCACUGUCAUGGUGAUUGAUCGCGGUGCUGAAUCAUGAUGUUUAGAGUCAAGAUUCAGUCAACAUACUUCCAGGAUUUUCUCAUUUUAGUGCAGCAAAACUGACAGGAUAUUUUUUUCCUUUUCUUUUAAAACAUAAAUAACCUCAGCUUAUUCUGUAGUUACUGAAAGAAGGUUUAAGGUGUUUUACUUAUUCUUCGCAUAAAUAAAACACUAAUGCGAAUAAUAAAUCCUCACUUUGUUAGCAUACUAAAUCUUGCCACAUCAGAAGAUGCAAAACAACAAAUUUUCAUCUUCUAGCAUCAACCAGACAUGUCAAGAUCCAUACGCCACUUCUACAUAAAAUGACAUUUUUUAAAAUAAGAGAACUUUACCUCAUGCUGUAUAAUUUAACUUAUAUCAUUAUUUUAUUAUUUUUAGCUAACUUCCAAGAAAUUACAUUUUUUAAGCACAUAAAAUUUUCCUUUAGACGAAUGUGUCUCUUUAAUCAGAUAAUUAAUAUACUUAUGUAUUCUUUCCCCCCACACACAAUCACCCACAAUCAGAGCAUCAUGCUCCACUUGAGGGAAAACAGAGGAGGAGAUUUUCACUUUUUUCUGGUUGUGAUAAAACAUUUUCACUGAAAAGUUGCUGUGUUUUUUUUUCCUGAAUCAGGGUUGAUGUUUCCUCCGGGAGUCGCCGUUUUCUCCCUGAUUCACCUGAAACUUCCCCUCCGUCUGUGCAUCAGUCCAGAGAAGAGCAUCUCCUGAUGAAUGAGGGUCAUUAUGAGUUGGGGAGCAUGAGGAGCUAAUUACAGGUCUCAGAUCAGCGGCGUUCUGCCGGGAUGGACUUUGAUGAAUAUACACACAUAAUCUGAGCUUCAGGGAGGUUUUAAAGCUUCUGAGGAAAUCAUCUGCUGGUUUAUUACAACGUAAUGAUCUCACAUUUCAAACUGUGUGUUAUUUUUAAAAGGAGAAAAAAGAGGAGUAUGACAAACAACGUAAGCAGGUUUGCCUUUUUUAAUCGCUGAAGCUGAUCAUGUAGACAUGUUUUAAAACAAGCAAGACUUAAACAAAUAACACAAUUUAUCCUUUA